rnacentral:rRNA from 1 species
AGCAGCCGCGGUAAUUCCAGCUCCAAUAGCGUAUAUUAAAGUUGUUGCAGUUAAAAAGCUCGUAGUUGAACCUCGGGGUCUACCCAUUGGUCAGGCUUAAUUGUCUGCACUGGUGAGAUGGAUCUCUACCUUCUGAGGAACUUUCAUGCCAUUUAUUUGGUGUGAUGGGAAAUCAGGACUGUUACUUUGAAAAAAUUAGAGUGUUUAAAGCAGACUAUCGUCUGAAUACAUUAGCAUGGAAUAAUGAAAUAGGACGGACUGAUUCUAUUUCGUUGGUUUCUAGGAUCACCGUAAUGAUUAAUAGGGAUAGUUGGGGGCAUUAGUAUUCAAUUGUCAGAGGUGAAAUUCUUGGAUUUAUUGAAGACUAACUACUGCGAAAGCAUUUGCCAAGGAUGUUUUCAUUAAUCAAGAACGAAAGUUAGGGGAUCGAAGACGAUCAGAUACCGUCGUAGUCUUAACCAUAAACUAUGCCGACUAGGGAUCGGACGAAGUUAAUUUUAUAAUGACGCG